rnacentral:misc_RNA from 1 species
AACCUAGCACACCUGCGGUGUGUACCUGCGGAAGGAUCAUUACCGAGUUUACAACUCCCAAACCCCUGUGAACAUACCUAUACGUUGCCUCGGCGGAUCAGCCCGCGCCCCGUAAAAAGGGACGGCCCGCCCGAGGACCCCUAAACUCUGUUUUUAGUGGAACUUCUGAGUAAAACAAACAAAUAAAUCAAAACUUUUAACAAUGGAUCU